CGAACGGGCAAGGAGCCGGGGUCGCCCGAUCGGACCCCGGACGUGAAGUCGACGAUGGUCGGUGGGCUGGUUUUGGUAAGCAGAACGGGCGAUUCGGGAUGAACCGGAAGCGGGGAGAAAGGGCCCGAGAUUGCGUCGACGCGGAUCCCGAAAAGGGCGUCGAUCCGUCGCGACAGCGGGACGGUGGUCAUGGAAGUCGAAAUCCGCUAAGAAGCGUGUAAAAACGUACCCGCCCAACGGAUCGGCCCCGAAAAUUGAUGGCGCUCGAACGCAACCCUCGAACCCCGCCGACGGAGGCUAGGGGAGGCCCCGUCGAGUAGGCGGACGCGCGGGUCGCUUCGACGCUCCCGCGCGAGCGGGGGCGGAGCGGCCCGUGGUGCAGAUCUUGGUGGUAGUAGCGAUCACCCAGGCGAGAACCCUGAGGGCCGAAGUGGAGAAGGGUUUCUCGAGAACGGCACUCGCUCGAGAGUUAGUCGAUCCUAAGCUGCCGGCGGCAGCCACGAAACGGUCGAUCGGGCGCGAGCCCGGCAGCCACGACCGGGCAGCGAAA
rnacentral:rRNA from 1 species